rnacentral:tRNA from 1 species
GCAAUGGUGGCUCAGUGGUAGAAUUCUUGCCUUUCAUAUGGGACACCCAGGUUAGACUCCUGGCCAUUGCU